rnacentral:rRNA from 1 species
CCUACGGGCGGCAGCAGUGAGGAAUAUUGGUCAAUGGACGAGAGUCUGAACCAGCCAAGUAGCGUGAAGGAUGACUGCCCUAUGGGUUGUAAACUUCUUUUAUAUGGGAAUAAAACGUUCCACGUGUGGGAUUUUGUAUGUACCAUAUGAAUAAGGCUCGGCUAACUCCGUGCCAGCAGCCGCGGUAAUACGGAGGCUCCGAGCGUUAUCCGGAUUUAUUGGGUUUAAAGGGAGCGGGGGUGGAUUGUUAAGUCAGUUGUGAAAGUUUGGGGCUCAACCAUAAAAUUGCAGUUGAAACUGGCAGUCUUGAGGACAGUAGAGGUGGGCGGAAUUCGUGGUGUAGCGGUGAAAUGCUUAGAUAUCACGAAGAACUCCGAUUGCGAAGGCAGUUCACUGGACUGCAACUGACACUGAGGCUCGAAAGUGUGGGUAUCAAACAGGAUUAGAUACCCCUGUAGUC